GGAGACCUGCNNNNNNNNNNNNNNNNNNNNNNNNNNNNNNNNNNNNNNNNNNNNNNNNNNGAGGACCUUCCGCCCCGGCCCGGCCUGGAGAGAGCGCUCGGCAGCAUGGGCGCGGCGGCUCUCAGCUUGGCCGGCCUUGCCUUCACCUUCAGGGGCGGAGCUCACGCUUACAGCAGUUUACAGUUUCUGGUUGCUAGUUUUCCUUCCGUUGACCGAGUGUCGGUCGGUAGCUUCAGUUUUACUUAGUAUCCUGUAGGUUAAGGCAAUAAAGGUAGUUGCACCUGGCUCGUAGAUGAAGUGAUGGGGGCGAUCACGUACUGCUGGACGAGGUUCAAGCAAAUGUGCAUGCAAGAAAUUCUGCUAAUGCGGCUGUGGUUAGUCUUUCAGCUUCAGUGAGGUUAAAACAAAAGUAAAUACAAGCUUAGUUGCAGAGCUGAUGUUUAGAAGUACAACUGGGAACUUGUAUGUUUUUUCCCUUUGCGAUUUAUUUUUUCAAAAUGCUAAACCGGUUUGCCUUAUCAUUCACUAAUGUAUUACGAAGUUACAUUAGAAGCCUUUAAUAUAUAUAUUAAAGAAACUGUGUUUUAGUCAAUUCAUCAUAAAAUUUGAAGCCCACUAUUUUUCCUGCCAUUUUCCUUUAUAUAUUUAUAUAGUUUAAGAUAAACGUAGUAAAGCUUUUGGGAGAGAAUUUUAAUCUGACAUGUUAUCAUCUUAAUUAAUACUUGAUCUGAAAAUGUUGCUUGAUUUUUCCUUUUUAAUUCUCUUUUCAGCUCAGUGAUGAAAAUGAACAGUUAGUCAAGAAGUUGAAAAAACUACACAUAAAAAAUAAGGAGCUAGAAAAGAAUCUGGGUCAGAUCCAAGAAAAACUGCAUCUGCAGAAGUUAAUGCAUGACUAUGUCACAAGCAGAGAUGUUCAAGUUCAAACAGAAACCCAUUUAUGGCAUAAGGUUGGAUACAGCAAGGAUCUUAUUCUAGAGGGUGACAGUGUCAGACUACUUCAGAUGUAUAAUGAGCUACAGAAAUGUUACAUUAAAGAAAUCAAAACAAACCAGGAGCAAAGUGAAGCAAUUAAAAAUCUCACUAUUAAAAUUCAUGAGCUAGAGCAUAAUCUUCAAGAACAGAAGCAAAGAAUUGAGCAAUUGGAAUGUAAAAAGGUUUCUUGGAAAACCAGUGCUGUUUCUGGAAAAAGACAUCGAACCCCAGAGGGUGAAGUAACAUCUCUCAGGGACACAUCUAAAAAGAAAGAAUCCUGUUGCAGUGAAUGUUUAGAUCUAUUGUUGAAAGAGAUUAAAAAGCUGAAGAAAAAAAAUGAAAAGUUGUCUACAGAAAGGAGAGCACUAAAAAAUGAAUUAGCCGGAUUAGACAAGAUCUUCAAAUUUAAUGGUGUGUUACCUACUACUGGCUGACUUCAGCAUGUAUAGCUAUAUUUUUGCACAGGAUUUUUUUGAAGAGGUAGAAGAUCUAAAGCAUGCUGUACAGGAAUCUGUGAAACUGAAUAAUCAGUACGAAAAGUGCUUAAAACAAAUAAGUAUAAUGUAUGGACUUCCUUUUGCAGCACAUUUUUAACUACUGAUUAAUGGCAAGUGGAUUUUUCCACAUGUUUUUUUGUAUGUAUUGCAACAUUUAAACCUACCACGGCUUAUGUAGUACCACAUUUUGAUAAUAUGGAUCAUUAAUGUGAUCUCAAUAUAACAAGCUUCUCUGAAAUGUUGUAUUUUGUGCCUUUGAUUUUUGUUUAUAUGGUUUUAAAAUAAACUGUGGUCUG
rnacentral:lncRNA from 1 species